GACGAACGCUGGCGGCGUGCUUAACACAUGCAAGUCGAGCGGUAAGGCCCUUUCGGGGGUACACGAGCGGCGAACGGGUGAGUAACACGUGGGUGACCUGCCCUCAGCUCUGGGAUAAGCCUGGGAAACUGGGUCUAAUACUGGAUAUGACUCCACGGUGCAUGUCGUGGGGUGGAAAGCCUUGUGCGGCUGAGGAUGGGCCCGCGGCCUAUCAGCUUGUUGGUGGGGUGANGGCCUACCAAGGCGACGACGGGUAGCCGGCCUGAGAGGGCGACCGGCCACACUGGGACUGAGACACGGCCCAGACUCCUACGGGAGGCAGCAGUGGGGAAUAUUGGACAAUGGGCGCAAGCCUGAUCCAGCAAUGCCGCGUGCGUGAUGAAGGCCUGG
rnacentral:rRNA from 1 species